rnacentral:rRNA from 1 species
GUGGUUAAGAAGAAAAGGGCGCACGGUGGAUGCCUUGGCACUAGGAGCCGAUGAAGGACGCGACGAACGGCGAAACGCUCCGGGGAGCUGUACGUAAGCUUUGAUCCGGAGAU